rnacentral:rRNA from 1 species
GAUGAACGCUAGCUACAGGCUUAACACAUGCAAGUCGAGGGGUAACGAGAGGAAAGCUUGCUUUCCUUGUCGACGACCGGCGCACGGGUGAGUAACGCGUAUCCAACCUGCCCCCAACUAGGGAAUAACCUUGCGAAAGUAAGACUAAUACCCUAUAAUUUCCUCAGAUGUCAUCUGACGAGGAAUAAAGAUUUAUCGGUUGUGGAUGGGGAUGCGUCUGAUUAGCUUGUUGGCGGGGUAACGGCCCACCAAGGCAACGAUCAGUAGGGGUUCUGAGAGGAAGGUCCCCCACAUUGGAACUGAGACACGGUCCAAACUCCUACGGGAGGCAGCAGUGAGGAAUAUUGGUCAAUGGGCGGAAGCCUGAGCCAGCCAAGUAGCGUGCAGGAUGACGGCCCUAUGGGUUGUAACUGCUUUUAUACAGGAAUAAAGUUAGCCACGUGUGGUUAUUUGUAGGUACUGUAUGAAUAAGGACCGGCUAAUUCCGUGCCAGCCGCCGCAGUAA